rnacentral:lncRNA from 1 species
GAAAUGGCCGAUUCAUCCGGUUCUUCUCAGCCAGACCGAGGGCUGCUUUGACAAUCAAAUUUGAGGGAGCCCAGCCAACCAAAUAUGCCCUCUGUGUAUAUGCUUGUCACCACUUCUCUGUUUCUUUACUUGCAUCGAAGCGUACCAAUUCCAUCGCUUACAGUUGGUGUAUACGCAUUUCUCACAUAUAUAUGUAACUAUAGUUAUUAUGUAUAGCCACUGACCAUUUGGUGGAUGAAGCCUAGUUAUUCAAUAAUCACCAGGAGCCUGUCAAUCAGCAUGAUCCGGGGGCGAAGCCGACGGUCUUCUUGCCGAGGUCGUAGAGCACGCCGUAGGUCUUCUGCUGCGUGUUCCCGACGAUGGCGACGCUCUCGUCGUCGCCGUUGGACGCGAACGCCAGGCACACCUGCGCCUGGCUGAUGGCGUACACGAUCCCGGACACGUCCACGUCCAGGCACGCGCCGCCCUGGAACACCAGCGACACCGUCGGCAGCGCCACAUCGC